CUCCUUUAUUUAUCCGGGCUCCCGGGUGCGUCGCCGCAGGGAAACUGAGGCACGGCCGCCAUGGCACUGGGGACAACGGGGACCCGCAGCGGCAGCAGCCACCCCCCGAGGGUGGCACUGGGGACAAUGGGGACCCCCAGCUCGCCAUGGCCACCGCCCCCCGAGGGUGGCAUCGGCGACAACGGGGACCCCCAGCGCCCCGUGGCGCUGUCACUCGCUGUCCCCAGCCCGCCGGGUUCUUGUGGCACCUGCACGGCCCGGCCUGGCAGCUCCCUGAGCAGGACAGUGCCACUCGCCACUGUCCCCGCUGUCCUGUCCCUGCUGUUCCCACUGUCCUGUCCCCUGUCCCAUGUCUCGUGUCCCGCUGUCCCACCGUACUGUCCCAUGUCCCCUCUGUCCCUGCUAUCCCCACUGUCCUGUCCCUGCUGUCCCCUCUGUCCCACUGUCCUGUCCCCUGUGUCCUGCUGUCCCCGCUGUCCUGUCCUCAUUGUCCUGUCCCCUCUGUCCCCUGUUCUGUCCCCCUGUCCGGUCCCGUGUCCCGUCCCUGUCCCGUGUCCGGUCCCCUGUCCCGUGUCUGGUCCCUGGUCCUGCUAUCCGGUCCCAUAUCCGGUCUCUGUCCCGUGUCCGGUCCCUGUCCGGUCCCGGUCCCGUCUCCGUCCCGUCCGUGUCCCGUGUCCGGUCUCUGUCCCGUGUCCGGUCCCUGUCCCUGCUGUCCGGUCCCGUGUCCGCUCCCUGUCCCUGCUGUCCGGUCCCGUAUCCGGUCCCGUGUCCGGUCCCGGUCCCUGUUCCGUAUCCGGUCCCUGUCCCUGCUGUCCUGUCCCGGUCCCUGUCCCUGCUGUCCGGUCCCGUGUCCGCUCCCGUGUCCGGUCCCGGUCCCGUGUCCGCUCCCGUGUCCGGUCCCGGUCCCGUGUGCGGUCCCGUGUCCGGUCCCGUGCGGCUCAGCCCACGGUGACGCUGAAGCCGCAGUGGAACCGGUUCCUGCGGUGGUUCAGGAAGGCGCCCAGGGCCAGCGUCACGGGCAGGGGGGGCAGCUUCUUCUCCAGGACCCCUCCCACGCUCCAGCUGCUGUCCAGGAGCCCUGCGGGGACAGCGGGGACCCCUGAGCCGCCGCCGCCGGGCGCGGGGGACAGAGGCCACCGGGGCGGGGCCGGCCCACCUCGGAACACGGCGUUGGCCCGCGGCAGGUUGAGCCGGUAGCCGAAGGCGAACGCGGUCUCCUGCAGGCGCGUGUUGGCCUCCAGCUCCACCCCCGCCUGCACCUGCGGGGACGCAGCGGUCACGGCGGCGCGGGGACAGCGAGGGGACAGAGAGGGGACAACGGGGACAGCGGGGGGAGAGCGUGGGGACAGUGUGGGGAGAGCGGGGACAGAGAGGGGACAACGGGGGGAGAGCGUGGGGACAGUGUGGGGACAGCGGGGACAGAGAGGGGAGAGCGUGGGGACAGUGAGGACAGCG
rnacentral:lncRNA from 1 species